rnacentral:tRNA from 1 species
GGAUUGUGGGUCAAUGGGCAGAGCAUCUGCUUGGCAUGCAAAAAGUCCCAGGUUCAGUCCCUGAUGUAUCCA